AUAUUCGUACCCAUGAAGGCUAUUUUUGUGACUCAUCACAAGCAAUUUCGCUUACCGGAAGCAUGUUUCUUCAAAGGGCAUGGAGGCAAGUUGCUUUUGGAGUAUACGGAUUCACCCAAUUCACCAAAUCCGGUUUUCAAGAACAUUCGAAGAAGUUCAAGGCGGAGGAUAUGCAAGUCCAAAUGGAAGGAAAGAAUUGUUUGGUGACAGGAGGAAAUUCUGGCAUUGGUUUCGCUGCAGCUGAGGGUCUUGCUUCCCGGUAAUGGUUUUUUGUUUUAAUUAUUUUUUAUGUUAGAUGGGAUACAAUUUCGAAUUUUAUUUUCUUCAGUAUUUAGCUGAAUUUUCUUUGCUGGUGUACUGUUCUAACUGUAUGAAUUGAAUGAUAUUUCACCAUAAUAUAAUUCAUUGCUAUUAUAUCAUUUUAAUCUAUGCUUCAUAUUGAUCUCUGGCGAAAACUUUGAACUAAACAUUACCUAAAAUUGUAUUAAGGACAGAAAUACUGAAAAAAAAAAAA